CCCAUUGAAGCGAAAAUCACGCGUUUUCUACUCGCAAAUCCCCCAUUUAACCUGAAAAUGACGCGUUUUCUCCUUGCAAAUCCCCCACUUAAGCGUAAAACACACAUUUUCUCUUCGCAAAUCCCCCAGUUAUGCAAAAAUCACGCGUUUUCUCUUCGAGAAUCCCCCAUUUAACCCUAAAAUCACGUGUAUUCUCUUCAGAAAUACCACAUUUAAGCGAAAAUCACGUUUUCUCCUUGAGCAUCCCCCAUUUAAGCGAAUAUUACGCGUUUUCUCUUCGCAAAUCCCCCAUUUAUCGCGAAAAACAGACGUUUUCUCUUUGCAAAUCCCCCAUUUAACCCGAAAAUCUCGCAUUUUCUCUUCGAGCAUCCCCCAUUUAAGCGAAAAACACGCAUUUUCUCUUCUCAAAUCCCCCAUUUAAGCGAAAAUCACACCUUUUCUCUUCGAGAAUCCCCCAUUUAACCGAAAAUCACACCUUUUCUCUUCGAGAAUCCCCCAUUUAAGCAAAAAUCACGCGUUUUCUCUUCGCGAAUCCCACAUUUAAGCGAAAAUCACGCGUUUUCUCUCAACAAUUCCACAUUUAAGCAAAAAUCACGUGUUUUCUCUUCGCAAAUCCCCCAUUUAUGCGAAAAUCACGUUUCCUAUUCGCAAAUUUCCCAUUUAACCCGAAAAUCUCGCAUUUUCUCUUCGCAAAUCCCCCAUUGAAGCGAAAAUCACGCCUUUUCUCUUCGAGAAUCCCCCAUUGAUGCAAAAAUCACGCGUUUUCUCUUUGCAAAUCCCCCAUUUAAGCGAAAAACACACGUUUUCUCUUUGAGAAUCCCCAGUUAUGCAAAAAUCACGCGUUUUCUCUUCGCGAAUCCCCCAUUUAAGCGAAACACACACGUUUUCUCUUCGAAAUCCCCCAUUUAAGUGAAAAUUACGCGUUUUCUCUUUGUGAAUCCCCCAUUUAAGCGAGAAUCACGCGUUUUCUCUUUGUGAAUCCCCCAGUUAAGCGAAAAUGAUGCGUUUUCUCUCCAAGAAACCUCCAUUUAA
ensembl:lncRNA